rnacentral:rRNA from 1 species
CCCGAUUCCUCCUCGAUUCCAUUUGAGACAUUUUGGUUGUCCCAAGCUGGCUUCGUCGAGGCCGUGGCCGCUCGCUGGAUGGAGGAACGCGCCCAUUCCCAGUCCUUGUCUCGCCCCUCCUCCGCCAUCGACUCAUGGCAUUUCUGUGCCAAGCGAGACCGGUAAUUCAUGAAGGGGUGGGGCGCCAACUUGGGUCGCGACCUCCGCGAGCGGAAGAAGGCCCUUCCGUCUGCUAUUCAGGCCCUCGAACUGCGCGCCAAUGCCUAUGGCCUUUCUCCUGAGGAGUGGCUUUCCCGGUACGACCUGGAAGACCAACUCUCGGUCAUCUACUCCGACGAGGAGGCAUACUGGCGGGUGCGCGGGGCUCGGAAAUGGGUUCUGAAAGGUGACGCCAACACGGCGUACUUUCAUGCCAUCGCGAAUGGCCGGCGCAGGCGCAACACCAUUCCCCUUCUCUGGGAUGGGCCGACUCUAUUGCAGUCUCCGCAGGACAUUAGGUCCCAUGUCGACGGCUUCUAUAGGUCUCGGUUCGCAGCCGCUCCUCAGAGCGGCUUAUCCCUGGCCCUGGACUGUUGGUCCGGCUGCCAGCUUGUCUCGGAUCAGGAGAACAUGGCCCUCACAGCCCCCUUCUCUGAGGACAAGGUUUGGGCCGCCAUCAAAGGCAUGAACCCUACCUCGGCCCCGGGACCGGAUGGCCUGCCAGUUAAGUUCUUCCAUGCCUUCUGGAAUGUGAUCAAGCCGGAGGUCAUGGCCAUCUUUGAUGAGUUCUAUGUUGGGUCCUUUGAUCUCGGGCACCUCAACUACGGGAUGAUCUCGCUUAUCCCCAAGGUUCCUGGGGCAGCUGACAUCCGUCAGUUUUUCCCGAUCACGGUGAUAAAUGUGAUCUUCCGUAUUCUGGCGAAAGGGUACGCCAAUAGGGUGACCCUGCUCGCAGACCACAUUACCCACCCCAACCAAUCGGCCUUCAUCCAAGGAUGA